GCCAGGAGAGAAGGGGAAGGUGGCUAACCCGGGCCGUGCGCCCCCCGGGGGGCCCAGCCCUCUGCACUGCACCAAGUCUCUAGACGCAGGGGAUGGCUGGUGCCCACGCGCAGGCGCUCGAGCACGCGGUCUUCCUGUGACGCUCACCUUCGCUGUGACCCGGUGAGCAGGUGUCAGUUGCGACCAGAGGCCAGGAGAGAAGAGGAGGGGGAGGCCCCGCAGGUCCUCAGAUGCUUCUGGAAGCCUCUGGAAAGAGCCCAGCCUGGACGCCCGGGCCCCACCCCCACCUUCCCGGGCCCCGAAGACCUGAGGCCUCCCCAGCCUGAUGCCCACCCACCCCUGCAUCCCUGGCCCGACAGCCCAGGCCUUGGGGAGCACGCACUGGGGGCUCUGGUGCCUGCCGGUGAGGUCGACUGGACCCUCUGUCUGUCUGUCUGUCUGUCCAGGGUAGUGACAGGCAGCUCAGCUCCAGAUCUGAGAUUGUCUCCUCCCGGCCCCACUGUCACCUCCUUAGUCUCUGAGUAAUCAGUUUCUCCUGAUCCCAAUAAACGUCUUUUGACCUAAAGACUUCUUUCUUGG
rnacentral:lncRNA from 12 species